CAUUUGAUUGAUAGAAUACAAGACAGUAUAAAACUUUGUGAAUAAAAUUGAGUGCGGGAUAGUGGCGGACGGGUGAGUAACGCGUGAAUAAUCUGCCCCAUACAGGGGGAUAGCCUCGGGAAACCGGGAUUAAAACCGCAUAACACUUUAUCACCGCAUGGUGAUGAAGUCAAAUCGAUUAAGAGGUAUGGGAUGAGUUCGCGUCUGAUUAGCUAGUUGGCAGGGUAAAGGCCUACCAAGGCGACGAUCAGUAGCCGGCCUGAGAGGGUGACCGGCCACACUGGAACUGAGACACGGUCCAGACUCCUACGGGAGGCAGCAGUGGGGAAUAUUGCACAAUGGGGGAAACCCUGAUGCAGCGACGCCGCGUGAGUGAAGAAGGUCUUCGGAUCGUAAAACUCUGUCCUUGGUGACGAAGGAAGUGACGGUAACCAAGGAGGAAGCCCCGGCUAACUACGUGCCAGCAGCCGCGGUAAUACGUAGGGGGCGAGCGUUGUCCGGAUUUACUGGGCGUAAAGGGUGAGUAGGCGGUCAUAUAAGUCAGGUGUAAAAAGCUAAGGCUUAACCAUAGUAAGCACUUGAAACUGUAUGACUUGAGUGCAGGAGAGGUAAGCGGAAUUCCUAGUGUAGCGGUGAAAUGCGUAGAUAUUAGGAGGAACACCGGUGGCGAAGGCGGCUUACUGGACUGUAACUGACGCUGAGUCACGAAAGCGUGGGUAGCAAACAGGAUUAGAUACCCUGGUAGUCCACGCUGUAAACGAUGAGUGCUAGGUGUUGGGCAGCAAUGCUCAGUGCCGAAGUAAACACAAUAAGCACUCCGCCUGGGGAGUACGUACGCAAGUAUGAAACUCAAAGGAAUUGACGGGGACCCGCACAAGCAGCGGAGCAUGUGGUUUAAUUCGAAGCAACGCGAAGAACCUUACCAAGGCUUGACAUCCCCUUGACCGGUGCAGAGAUGUACCCUUCUCUUCGGAGACAAGGGAGACAGGUGGUGCAUGGUUGUCGUCAGCUCGUGUCGUGAGAUGUUGGGUUAAGUCCCGCAACGAGCGCAACCCUU
rnacentral:rRNA from 1 species